UACGGGGGGGGCUAGCGUUGCUCGGAAUCACUGGGCGUAAAGCGCACGUAGGCGGCUUUGUAAGUUAGGGGUGAAAGCCUGGAGCUCAACUUCAGAAUUGCCCUUAAGACUGCAUCGCUUGAAUCCAGGAGAGGUGAGUGGAAUUCCGAGUGUAGAGGUGAGAUUCGUAGAUAUUCGGAAGAACACCAGUGGCGAAGGCGGCUCACUGGACUGGUAUUGACGCUGAGGUGCGAAAGCGUGGGGAGCAAACAGG
rnacentral:rRNA from 1 species